UACGUAGGGUGCAAGCGUUAUCCGGAAUUAUUGGGCGUAAAGAGCUCGUAGGCGGUUUGUCGCGUCUGCUGUGAAAACUGGAGGCUCAACCUCCAGCCUGCAGUGGGUACGGGCAGACUAGAGUGCGGUAGGGGAGAUUGGAAUUCCUGGUGUAGCGGUGGAAUGCGCAGAUAUCAGGAGGAACACCGAUGGCGAAGGCAGA
rnacentral:rRNA from 1 species